GGGAGGCAGCAGUGGGGAAUAUUGGGCAAUGGAGGGAACUCUGACCCAGCGACGCCGCGUGCGGGAUGAAGGCCUUCGGGUUGUAAACCGCUUUCAGCAAGGAAGAAGCGAAAGUGACGGUACUUGCAGAAGAACACCGGCUAACUAUGUGCCACAGCCGUGGUAUAUGCCAGCAGCCGC
rnacentral:rRNA from 1 species